AGCGAAACGGCAGGAGGGCAAACCGAAGAGUUUACUCUUCGGGGUUGUAGGACUGCAAUGUGGACUCAAAGAUUAUAGAAGAAUGAUUUGGGAAGAUCAGCCAAAGAGAGUAAUAGCCUCGUAUUUAAAAUAGUCUUUGUACUUAGCAGUAUCCUGAGUACGGCGGGACACGUGAAAUCCCGUCGGAAUCCGGGAGGACCAUCUCCCAACCCUAAAUACUCCCUAGUGACCGAUAGUGAACCAGUACCGUGAGGGAAAGGUGAAAAGCACCCCGGGAGGGGAGUGAAAUAGAACCUGAAACCGUGUGCCUACAACAAGUUCGAGCCCGUUAAUGGGUGAGAGCGUGCCUUUUGUAGAAUGAACCGGCGAGUUACGUUAUGAUGCGAGGUUAAGUUGAAGAGACGGAGCCGUAGGGAAACCGAGUCUGAAUAGGGCGCCUUAGUAUCAUGACGUAGACCCGAAACCAUGUGACCUACCCAUGAGCAGGUUGAAGGUGCGGUAAGACGUACUGGAGGACCGAACCAGGGCACGUUGAAAAGUGCUUGGAUGACUUGUGGGUAGCGGAGAAAUUCCAAACGAACUUGGAGAUAGCUGGUUCUCUCCGAAAUAGCUUUAGGGCUAGCGUCGACAUUAGAGAUUCUUGGAGGUAGAGCACUGUUUGGGUGAGGGGUCCAUCCCGGAUUACCAAUCUCAGAUAAACUCCGAAUGCCAAUGAAUUAUGGUCGGCAGUCAGACUGCGAGUGCUAAGAUCCGUAGUCGAAAGGGAAACAGCCCAGACCACCAGCUAAGGUCCCAAAAUAAUUGUUAAGUGGAAAAGGAUGUGGGGUUGCACAGACAACUAGGAUGUUAGCUUAGAAGCAGCUAUUCAUUCAAAGAGUGCGUAAUAGCUCACUAGUCGAGUGACCCUGCGCCGAAAAUGUACCGGGGCUAAAACAAUUUACCGAAGCUGUGGAUACCUUUAUAGGUAUGGUAGGAGAGCGUUCUAUGUGUGAUGAAGGUGUACCGUGAGGAGUGCUGGAACGCAUAGAAGUGAGAAUGCCGGUAUGAGUAGCGAAAGACAGGUGAGAAUCCUGUCCACCGUAAGACUAAGGUUUCCAGGGGAAGGCUCGUCCGCCCUGGGUUAGUCGGGACCUAAGGAGAGACCGAAAGGUGUAUCCGAUGGACAACAGGUUGAUAUUCCUGUACUAGAGUAUGUAGUGAUGGAGGGACGCAGUAGGCUAACUAAAGCAGACGAUUGGAAGAGUCUGUCUAAGCAGUGAGGUGUGAAUUGAGUCAAAUGCUUAAUUCUAUAACAUUGAGCUGUGAUGGGGAGCGAAGUUUAGUAGCGAAGUUAGUGACGUCACACUGCCAAGAAAAGCUUCUAGCGUUUAAACAUACUCUACCCGUACCGCAAACCGACACAGGUAGUCGAGGCGAGUAGCCUCAGGUGAGCGAGAGAACUCUCGUUAAGGAACUCGGCAAAAUGACCCCGUAACUUCGGGAGAAGGGGUGCUGACUUUAAGUCAGCCGCAGUGAAUAGGCCCAAGCAACUGUUUAUCAAAAACACAGCUCUCUGCUAAAUCGUAAGAUGAUGUAUAGGGGGUGACGCCUGCCCGGUGCUGGAAGGUUAAGAGGAGUGCUUAGCGUAAGCGAAGGUAUGAAUUGAAGCCCCAGUAAACGGCGGCCGUAACUAUAACGGUCCUAAGGUAGCGAAAUUCCUUGUCGGGUAAGUUCCGACCCGCACGAAAGGCGUAAUGAUUUGGGCACUGUCUCAACGAGAGACUCGGUGAAAUUUUAGUACCUGUGAAGAUGCAGGUUACCCGCGACAGGACGGAAAGACCCCAUGGAGCUUUACUGCAGUUUGAUAUUGAGUGUCUGUACCACAUGUACAGGAUAGGUAGGAGUCUAAGAGAUCGGGACACCAGUUUCGAAGGAGACGCUGUUGGGAUACUACCCUUGUGUUAUGGCCACUCUAACCCAGAUAGGUGAUCCCUAUCGGAGACAGUGUCUGACGGGCAGUUUGACUGGGGCGGUCGCCUCCUAAAAGGUAACGGAGGCGCCCAAAGGUUCCCUCAGAAUGGUUGGAAAUCAUUCGCAGAGUGUAAAGGUAUAAGGGAGCUUGACUGCGAGAGCUACAACUCGAGCAGGGACGAAAGUCGGGCUUAGUGAUCCGGUGGUUCCGUAUGGAAGGGCCAUCGCUCAACGGAUAAAAGCUACCCUGGGGAUAACAGGCUUAUCUCCCCCAAGAGUUCACAUCGACGGGGAGGUUUGGCACCUCGAUGUCGGCUCGUCGCAUCCUGGGGCUGUAGUCGGUCCCAAGGGUUGGGCUGUUCGCCCAUUAAAGCGGCACGCGAGCUGGGUUCAGAACGUCGUGAGACAGUUCGGUCCCUAUCCGUCGCGGGCGUAGGAAAUUUGAGAGGAUCUGCUCCUAGUACGAGAGGACCAGAGUGGACUUACCGCUGGUGUACCAGUUGUCUUGCCAAAGGCAUCGCUGGGUAGCUAUGUAGGGAAGGGAUAAACGCUGAAAGCAUCUAAGUGUGAAACCCACCUCAAGAUGAGAUUUCCCAUGAUUAUAUAUCAGUAAGAGCCCUGAGAGAUGAUCAGGUAGAUAGGUUAGAAGUGGAAGUGUGGCGACACAUGUAGCGGACUAAUACUAAUAGCUCGAGGACUUAUCCAA
rnacentral:rRNA from 1 species